GACAGAGGUGCCAAGCGUUAGGCGGAAUCACUGGGCUUAAAGCGUGUGUAGGCGGACUUCUAAGUACCUUGUGAAAUCUCCGGGCUUAACUCGGAAAGGUCAACUGAUACUGUGCGACUAGAGUGCAGAAGGGGCAACUGGAAUUCUCGGUGUAGCGGUGAAAUGCGUAGAUAUCGAGAGGAACACCUGCGGCGAAGGCGGGUUGCUGGGCUGACACUGACGCUGAUGCGCGAAAGCCAGGGGAGCGAACGGG
rnacentral:rRNA from 1 species